AAUGGCCACCACACUGAUCGUUGUAGGCCCAAACAGGCCUGAAAAUUAGCCUGAGACAGGCUGUGGCAGUGAUCUAAGAGGGGGGAAAUUCACAGACACCACCACCCCAUGGCCCUUAGGAAGCCACCCAAAGGGGCUAUAGGUAAUUUUUUUAAAAAAAUUAAAAAUCCGUGAAUUGGAGAGGGGUGGCCCUGGUGCCCCCCCCCCCAGUGGUGUCUAGGGCAUGUGCCCUGGCUGCCCUCCCCUAGUUUCUCCUAUGCCAAACACUGCCAGGAAUGUGUUUUUGUUCAUAGCCCAGAAACACUCCCAUAAUUCCUUGGAUCUUAAAAAAAACAAAAAAAAACUGCUGAUUGUGAAUAUCUCUCUACAAUGUACAGGCUAGAAAUGCAAUCUGUUUUUGAAAUGAAACAUAAGCUUCUGGCUAAUUUGUGUCAUAUAAACAAGUAUGCACAAGAUUCCACAUACAUUUAUACAUCUUUGCACAAGGCCAGAAGAUGGACAGCGAGUGACUCACAAGGGUUGCAUAUGUGCAUAGCACUACACAGCCAUGUACAUACCACUAACUGGAUGAGAAAUGCACAUACAAACCAAUCCUGCAUAUGUGGUUCGAGGCAAAUCUGCAGUCACACAUAGACCCAGUCAGAAAAACAGGAACUGGAUCAGCUGUUUGGAAAGGGAUACAUUCUUUGAACUGGCUACUGAUCAGAUCUGUGACAGAUGGUGCAUAUAUUCCCUUUCUGAGAAAACAUCUGGUGAGGCUGAUCUUAACUUAUUCACCAAGUGGAGCUUUGAGGCCUAGUCCUGAAGCCAUCCUUCCAGAAAUUUGCACUUAAAGAGAUACAUCAGAGGUUGUCCUACUUCUUGCUAACAUUCUGUUCACUCAUUUGAUGUCUUCCAAUUACAGUUGUAUUGACUUGCCAUAUCUGAGAAUGAUUCUGAAGUGCUAAUUUUACUUUUGCAGUAAAGUUAUUGCCCACUUUGA